AGGGUUCGAUCCUGGCUCAGGACGAACGCUGGCGGCGUGCCUAACACAUGCAAGUCGAACGAAGCAUUGAGAGCUUGCUUUUGAUGCUUAGUGGCGGACGGGUGAGUAACGCGUGAGCAACCUGCCUUUCAGAGGGGGAUAACGUUUGGAAACGAACGCUAAUACCGCAUAAUAUAUUUCAGUCGCAUGAAUGAGAUAUCAAAGGAGCAAUCCGCUGAAAGAUGGGCUCGCGUCCGAUUAGCUAGUUGGCGGGAUAACAGCCCACCAAGGCGACGAUCGGUAGCCGGACUGAGAGGUCGAUCGGCCACAUUGGGACUGAGACACGGCCCAG
rnacentral:rRNA from 1 species